ACUUUUAAAGGAUAAUAGCUUUCCACUGGUCUUAGGAACCAUUACCCUUGGUGCAACUCCAAGUAAAAGUA
rnacentral:tRNA from 1 species